rnacentral:tRNA from 1 species
GCAUCAAUAGUGUAGAGGUAUCAUGUGGGCCUUCCAGAAUAGUAUUCAGUAUUCGUCAGCUCGAGACGGGGGUUCGAUUCCCUCUUGAUGCA